rnacentral:lncRNA from 1 species
UUGAUGGGAGAGCCUUCGGGGUCACAGCUUUGGCUCAAAAGCUUCCUUGACAGGAAGCAACUUUCCAGCAGCACUAGUGAAAACUCAAGCAACCAAUCCUUUUUUUGCAUUGAACUGCCUUGGUAAAAGGUAGCCAAACACUUUGUUGGUGGAUUGCCUCCUCGAUGGGCAUGGAUCUAAACCAAGCUCCCUUUAAUCACUGUCCCUUCAAUAUUAUAAACAGUAAAAAUAAAAUUAUAUAGGUAUAUAAUCAGACUAGAAUC